UCUCGCUCAGAUUGCGGGAUUUUCUGCAAAGGAAACUACGAGUUAAACAAUAAUCAAUCGGAUGCAUUUACGAUUAGCAACAUUUUACAUUCACUACAAAGGUUUUUGCUCCCCAGCAAAGUGAUAAAAAACUCUUGAAAUAAACUCAAUAAUAGUGCUAACAAAAAACAACUUACUAAUGCUCGACCAGCGAAUAAACUUCGGCCAUCGAUAAAUGCAGGGCGAAUGUGAACAAAAAAUACAAGUGCAUCUAUACGAAGUUCACCUCUCUCCCAUCAACCUGACCCAACCAGGUAUCAUAGCUCAAGCCCCGCUCUCUGUCGUGUGCAUCUAAUAAACGCAAAUUGGAGAUGAGGGGCGCCCAGGGAGAUGAGAGAGAAGAUGGCGGAGCAUAGUGGCAAAGACUCGUGACACUUUAAUCUGGCGGAUAGGGUAAACAGACAAAGUAGUCAUCAAGUCGGGCUGUACUCCCCCGGCAACGCCGCCGAGCGCACACAAUGAGAUAAGCAGCGGGCCUGACUGGGCAAAUAUUACUAAGCAUACAUAUAGCUAUACAAAUAUAUAUAUACAUAUAUAUCGAGGUGUCAAAACUGACAGAAACUAUUAUAAGAACAAUGUAAGUCAAGCUCGAAGAUGAUGUAAAAACCGAGUGUCACUCCCGAUGAUCUAAAGCCGUGUUUGCCCAAGAAAUUAGCAAAGCUAUAGAGUAACAUAUAAUCGAAUGGGAAUUGCCAGUGACUUGCCAGAGAAAUUAAUUAUGUGUGUGUAAAUUUAUCAAGAAAUUGAAACAAUAAAGUAAUUAUAUGAAGUAA